AUUGAACGCUGGCGGCAGGCCUAACACAUGCAAGUCGAGCGGAUGAGUGGAGCUUGCUCCAUGAUUCAGCGGCGGACGGGUGAGUAAUGCCUAGGAAUCUGCCUGGUAGUGGGGGACAACGUUUCGAAAGGAACGCUAAUACCGCAUACGUCCUACGGGAGCAAGUGGGGGAUCUUCGGACCUCACGCUAUCAGCUGAGCCUAGGUCGGAUUAGCUAGUGGGUGAGGUAAAGGCUCACCAAGGCGACGAUCCGUAACUGGUCUGAGAGGAUGAUCAGUCACACUGGAACUGAGACACGGUCCAGACUCCUACGGGAGGCAGCAGUGGGGAAUAUUGGACAAUGGGCGAAAGCCUGAUCCAGCCAUGCCGCGUGUGUGAAGAAGGUCUUCGGAUUGUAAAGCACUUUAAGUUGGGAGGAAGGGCAGUAAGUUAAUACCUUGCUGUUUUGACGUUACCAACAGAAUAAGCACCGGCUAACUUCGUGCCAGCCGCCGCAGUAAGAC
rnacentral:rRNA from 1 species